GUUUUUACCGCACUUAUCCUCAGAAAUGAAACGGCGGAGGCGUUUCUUUUCUCUGUAGAUUUAAUACCGAGGCGAAAAGGACCGCGGGAGGUCUCAGUUUCCUCUUCUGGGGAGGGUGGGGUUAAAUACAGUGUGACAUAACACCUGUAAGCAGUCCUCGCUGUUGCACGCCUUCUAAUUUUUUGUGAACAUGUGUGUGCCCUGCCUCUCUUUUUUUUUUUUUACGGCCAAACCUACUUCCUGGUGGAUGAGGCAGCUCCUCAGUGUUGUCGAGGCUAAAGGAAAGGUGGAGGCGGCUGUAGACGGUGUGCAGAAGCGAUACAGCAGUUUUUAUCCCAGUACACUUUAUUAGUAGUAUUUUGUACUUUUAUUUUUUAAGGUGUUGCGCGUUUGCAGGAAAAAAAAACCCCAAAACAAAACAUGGGAAGCACGGUGAUGGAGUCCAGCAAGGGGAGCUCAAAGAAAAUACCAAAGAAGAGGAGAAGUCUGCGGAUUAACAUGCCAGAUUUCGGGGCGUUUAAUGCCCCUCAAGUGGAGACGAGUGGCUCAACCAAAAGCGGAGCCCACACGGGAGAGCGACUCAUUCGUUCAGCCAGCCCCAUCAAAGGAGGUUCUGCCAAGAGCCCGGACGUCACCACACUGCCUCCGUGUCCCCAGUCUGCUCCAGUUCAAUCAAAGCCAAAUUCAAGUUCUCCCAAAAGUAUCUUCCCUUAUCCCUCCCAUCAGAACUCCCCUAAGUCCCCUCGUCGACUGAGCUUCAGCGGUAUCUUCCGGUCGUCCGGUUCUCCCUCUUCGAGCAUCAAACUCUUUUCCAGAACCAGGAGAGCCUCUGGACUCUCUACACCACCCCACACCCCAACCCAGGCAUCCAGCCAACCAGUGUUCACCCAGGAGGCCCAGCAGAGCGGCCCCAGCCCUGAACGCCCGGAGCAAAGCUCUCGCUCUCGUUCCCUUUCCACACCUCCGGACACAGGACAGCGCCUCAGCCUUCCUUCUGCUAAACCCCCAAUCCCUUCAUCGAGCCCCGUGCCACCUUAUUCUACCUCACAACAAGUCUACAGUUUAUUCGAAGGCAUGCUGGAGAAACUUGAUCUAGACGAUGAUGCUGCUGAACCCGAGAGUGAUAUUUACAUGCGCUUUAUGAAAUCCCACAAGUGCUAUGACAUCGUCCCCACAAGCUCCAAGUUGGUUGUGUUUGACACAGCACUCCAAGUUAAGAAAGCCUUUUUUGCCCUGGUAGCCAACGGUGUGCGGGCUGCUCCACUAUGGGACACAGAGAAGCAAAGCUUUGUGGGAAUGCUGACAAUCACAGAUUUCAUCAUCAUACUACACAGAUACUAUAAGUCACCGAUGGUGCAAAUUUAUGAACUAGAGGAACAUAAGCUCGAGACGUGGAGAGAGGUUUACCUUCAAGCAACAUUCAAACCUCUGGUGAACAUAUCACCAGAUGCAAGCCUAUUUGACGCCGUCUACACUCUCAUCAAAAACAAAAUUCACCGGCUGCCUGUCAUCGACCCCGUUACAGGGAAUGCACUUUAUAUUCUCACACACAAGAGGAUCCUCAAGUUCCUCCAGCUCUUUAUGUGUGAGAUGCCAAAGCCAGCUUUUAUGAAACAGACUCUUGGCGAGCUGGGCAUCGGGACAUACCACGACAUUGCUUUCAUCCACCCAGACACACCCAUCAUCAAAGCACUCAACAUCUUUGUGGAGCGGCGAGUGUCUGCUUUGCCUGUGGUGGAUGACUCCGGCAAAGUUGUGGAUAUUUACUCCAAGUUUGAUGUGAUUAACUUGGCUGCUGAGAAGACGUACAACAAUCUGGACAUUUCAGUGACCCAGGCUCUGAAACAUCGCUCUCAGUACUUCGAAGGAGUUAUGAAGUGCCAUAAAAUGGAAACGAUGGAGACCAUUGUGGACAGAAUAGUCAAAGCUGAAGUGCAUCGGUUGGUGGUGGUGGAUGAGCGCUCCAGUAUCGAGGGCAUCGUUUCCCUGUCAGACAUCCUUCAGGCGCUGGUGCUCAGUCCUGCAGGUAUAGAUGCUCAGCAUUGCUAGCGUCAACUCCCCCUCUGCCCUGGACCUUGAGCUCUCUCUCCCCACCUGCCCUCUAACCCUGCCAGAGAUACCUGUAAGGAGGAGAACGCGACUGAAUAAGAUGUGGAUGUAUCAGCUUAAGUGGAGAUGUGGUGGGAGUAAUUAAAUUGAAACAUUAAGGUAGGGAGUGUAAGGCUGAGUGGAGCCAGGCUGAAGGUCCCAGAUACCCCUGAAACCAAUGCACUAAUAAAGGCUUGGAACCCAAAGAGCUAGACUGCUGAGUGAAGUGGACUUCUGCACUGAAGAUUGGAUUUUCUUUUCUUUCUCUCCUGAAUUUCUUCUUUGCUUUUUUGUUUUGUUUUGUUUUUUAACACUGAUCAGAUAUGCAUAUGUUAAGGGUGUAGACACUGAUCAGCUGCAACAUUAAAACCACUGAUGGGCGGAGUAAAUAUUGAGUCCAAUGUGUUCUAAUUGUGUUUUGGGUUCCGACAUUUAUGAGGUACAUAACAUUCCUUGCUUGAUGAUUCUGCUAAAACAAGACUGAUUAGACUCUAAAUUAGAAGACUCUAAAUUCUCAGGAACACUUCAGUAAACUGCUUCCAAACUUCCCAGAUCCCAAUCUAAUCAGUCAUCCCUGGGGAGCACAGGUAUGAUCUGAUCCACCAGGGGUUUGCCCUCAUUGUAUGAUACCAGAUAGAACAGGACACCCAAGGGUCCUGUCUCCAUUCUCAAUACACUACAGCAGGUUUGGUGGUGUGACGGAGACCUGCCAACAGUAUUGGGACGGUGGUUCUUAUGUUGUGGCUGAUUCUUGUUAACACAGAAACUCCAUUACGGUCUCUUUCUGGGGAAAGUUUGGAAACGUCAACACGGGUUCUGGUGGGUUUGGGAUUCAGCGUUUCGGGUUGUGUAGUUACAAUCAUGCUGCUGUCAUCACAAGUUUAAGUCAUGUAGGAAGGCGAGCGUUAACUGGUAGCAAAACCACACGUCACCUGCAAUGUGGCCACUUGACGCCAUUAAUUGCCAGUGCCAAUACAGACCUACUCAAUGCCCAAUAUUUAUUUGUGCCUUUAUUUUCUUCUCUCCACAGAAAUGUAUGUUGUAAAAUGGGUGCAAUGAUGAGUAUGAAUGUGUAAUAUCGAAGCAGAGUGCAAAUUGUACCUGCUUCUUCAAAGGUGUGCAUUAACUUGGUUGGUUUGGGGGCGGCAUAAAUUUAAAACUGUGCCAGAAGCGUCAAGAAGUUCUGUUAAAUCUUAUUCUUGAAAGAAAAUCCUAAAUCAUGCUGGCGCUGUUACGCAGUGCUCAGAGGGAGGAUGCACGCUUCUGUCAGCCAGGAGUGCUUUAAGUCACGAGUGAUCAAUAAGAGUUAAGUAUGGGUUUUUAUAAUGGUAACACCUGGUUCGGGAAAAAGCCUUUUUAAAUAUUUGAAAAGGCCCUUUUUCUCCCCUCCUUCCCAUUUAUUUUCAGUAGUUUUGAAUCUUCAAAUCAGUCUGGUUAUCUCAGCUGUAGCUCGACAGGACUCAUCUCCAUCUUUGAGUGUAAAUAGGAUCGUUUUGGGGAAAUGUGUCACAGAAAGCUUUAUUUUUAUGAACACUGACGUGUUUGAAGAGAGACUGCAGGUUUCAUGUUAUUUUUGUAAAUACAUUGUGGCAAUAUGUGUAGGUCAGAGAAACUUUGUAA